GACGAACGCUGGCGGCGUGCUUAACACAUGCAAGUCGAACGGAAAGGCCCUGCUUUUGUUGGGUGCUCGAGUGGCGAACGGGUGAGUAACACGUGAGUAACCUGCCCUUGACUUUGGGAUAACUUCAGGAAACUGGGGCUAAUACCGGAUAUGAGCUCCUGCUGCAUGGUGGGGGUUGGAAAGUUUCGGCGGUUGGGGAUGGACUCGCGGCUUAUCAGCUUGUUGGUGGGGUAGUGGCUUACCAAGGCUUUGACGGGUAGCCGGCCUGAGAGGGUGACCGGCCACAUGGGGACUGAGAUACGGCCCAGACUCCUACGGGAGGCAGCAGUGGGGAAUAUUGCACAAUGGGCGGAAGCGUGAUGAAGCAACGCCGCGUGCGGGAUGACGGCCUUCGGGUUGUAAACCGCUUUCGCCUGUGACGAAGCGUGAGUGACGGUAAUGGGUAAAGAAGCACCGGCUAACUACGUG
rnacentral:rRNA from 1 species